GAGUUUGAUCCUGGCUCAGGACGAACGCUGGCGGCGCGCCUAACACAUGCAAGUCGAACGGGACUAUGCGAGAUGAAGUUUUCGGAUGGAAUUUUGUGUAGUUUAGUGGCGGACGGGUGAGUAACACGUGAGCAACCUGCCUUCGAGAGGGGAAUAACGGCUGGAAACGGUCGCUAAUACCGCAUAACAUACGGGAGGGACAUCCCUUUUGUAUCAAAGAUUUAUCGCUCGAAGAUGGGCUCGCGUCCGAUUAGGUAGUUGGUGAGGUAACGGCCCACCAAGCCGACGAUCGGUAGCCGGACUGAGAGGUUGAACGGCCACAUUGGGACUGAGACACGGCCCAGACUCCUACGGGAGGCAGCAGUGGGGGAUAUUGCACAAUGGGGGAAACCCUGAUGCAGCGACGCCGCGUGUAGGAAGACGGUCCUCUGGAUUGUAAACUACUGUCCCCAGGGACGAAGAUGACGGUACCUGGGGAGGAAGCUCCGGCUAACUACGUGCCAGCAGCCGCGGUAAUACGUAGGGAGCGAGCGUUGUC
rnacentral:rRNA from 1 species